GACGGAGGAUGCAAGUGUUAUCCGGAAUCACUGGGCGUAAAGCGUCUGUAGGUGGUCAAAUAAGUCAACUGUUAAAUCUUGAGGCUCAACCUCAAAAUCGCAGUCGAAACUAUUCGACUAGAGUAUAGUAGGGGUAAAGGGAAUUUCCAGUGGAGCGGUGAAAUGCGUAGAGAUUGGAAAGAACACCGAUGGCGAAGGCACUUUACUGGGCUAUUACUAACACUGAGAGACGAAAGCUAGGGUAGCAAAUGGGA
rnacentral:rRNA from 1 species